AGAGUUUGAUCCUGGCUCAGAUUGAACGCUGGCGGCAGGCCUAACACAUGCAAGUCGAGCGGUAGAGAGGUGCUUGCACCUCUUGAGAGCGGCGGACGGGUGUAGUAAUGCCUAGGAAUCUGCCUGGUAGUGGGGGAUAACGCUCGGAAACGGACGCUAAUACCGCAUACGUCCUACGGGAGAAAGCAGGGGACCUUCGGGCCUUGCGCUAUCAGAUGAGCCUAGGUCGGAUUAGCUAGUUGGUGGGGUNAUGGCUCACCAAGGCGACGAUCCGUAACUGGUCUGAGAGAUGAUCAGUCACACUGGAACUGAGACACGGUCCAGACUCCUACGGGAGGCAGCAGUGGGGAAUAUUGGACAAUGGGCGAAAGCCUGAUC
rnacentral:rRNA from 1 species